AAUAAAAAGAGAUUAGCUGUGUUAAAAUUCAAUGAAGAUGAAGUGGAGCUGACUUAUUCUCAGAUUUAAAGAGAAUAAUGAAAGACAUACAAGUGGAUAGGAAGAUUGUCCUUGAAAGGCAAACAAACAGGGAUGCAAGUAGGAUUUAGUUAUGAUCCUCCUAGCCUCAGACUGAGUCCACUGACAGAUGGGGAAGAGUCAAUGGGGGAUAAACAAGAGCCCACUUGCCAAGGAGUCAGUGGAUCCAGCUCUUGUUCCACUUCUACUAAUUCCUUGGUGACCUUGGGCCCUUUCUUUUGGCUAUGAGGCAAGUUUGACCUUUUGUUUUCUCACUUGUGAAAUCAGGACCCAGAGUCAGUGUUUUCAACUUCUGUAUGCAGAGCCCUCCUCUCCCCAACAUCACCAUAGGCUCCUGACCAGGGCACAAGCAGAGAUGAGAUGACAGCCAAGCAGAGAUGAAGAAACUGAGGCCCAGAGAAACUAAGUAACUUACCUCAAAUGAUAAAGGAAUUGAACUCAGGACCUUGUGCUUGCCAGGCAGGCAUGGCACCACUGAGCUAAAUUCCCAGCUCCUGUUUAUAGCCAGUUACAGAGGCUGUGAGAAAACCUGUGGGCACAGGAAGGGAAAGAUAAAGGAAACAGAGAGGCACUUCUGUGGAUGCUGAAGGAAGAUGGAGCACGAUUCCUCUAUCUCAUGGGCCAGGCCCUCCUGCUCCUGUGGAACAAAGCCAGACCCACAAGUGUAGCUAAGAAGGAUCCUGUCAGUAGAAGAGCCUAUUCUUCUACUGCUUAUCUUCAGGUCUGGAAGAGAGGGGAGUAUGUAUGUGCACGUGUGCAUGUUGAUGAGGGGCCCAGGAAGAGAGAGAGAGACAGAGACAGAGACAGAGAAUGCACACAGGAAGCAGAAGAGAGGCCCCACACCCUGUGGGCUGGCAAUAGAGUGGGGCUGUGAGCACCACGUGUCAUCUCUGGCCUCAGCCUUGAGGAUUGCUGGAACCUACUGGAGACAACUAGGAUCUUCUAGAUCCAUGGCUUGGGUAGAGGUGACAUGUAAUGAAUUAAAGUGGGCAAUGUCUGGAGGAGUUCAGAAGCUCAUUGUCUGUUGAUGAGGAGAGAGGAGAGAGGUAGGAGUGUAGUGUGGUUGGGGGAUGGUGGCAAGAAGGUAUGAGGUGACAAGCCUGGCCUAGGGUUGUGGCAACUGAAACAGAAGAGCAAAUUCUGGGUGAAGAAACAGCAGGCUUUGGAAAGAACACAGAAUAUUUGAAACAGAUUGUCUGGAGGCUGCCACAUGUGGAGGAACUAGCACUCAGUAGGAGAGGGUGGUGAUGGAAAUGUUGAGCUUGAGGUGCAAAGAAGCCAAGGUGAUCAAAGGGGUAAACUAGGCCAAGGUUGGACAAUAGGAUGUUAGUGGCUCGGGCAUGUGAAGUAGAGCCAUAAGAAUGAAUGAAAUCUAAAGCUGUGGAAAAGUUAUUUUCUUUGACUGUUAAGCGCUGUGUGAAGAGAGUCUCUGUCACAAUUUCAGGAUUCUCCUUCCACAGGUUGGAACUACUGUUUCCAUUUACAGAUGAGAAACUCUGAUCUUUGGAGAGGUGAAGUACAAGCCCAAGGCUGUACCUCUGGUAACUGGGGAACCUAGGUUUGUUUAGCUCCACUCUCAAGCUUUUAACCACCACGAUAUUCAGAAACGAGAGCUGUGCUCCAAGCCCUGUGCAUGUCCUCAGUCAGGGGAAGGAGACAGGGAAGAAAGCAGCACAGUGCCCAGCGAGGGGGGAUAACAGAGUCCAAAGGCCAAGGGCUGAGGGUCCCUUCCACAUAGGGGCCACCAGAUAACAGAUAAGAACAAAAAUAGACCUUCUCUUCCUAUUUACUACGAAAUUUGGAAAUACAAGUGAUUAUUUCUUUAGGUUUAAUCUGAAUUGUGUAUCUUACUUGGAAUGGAUUAAAAACCAAACCAAAGCAUGCAUAUAGUUUACCUGAAGCUGUCCCUGGAGGAGAAGCCGAC